AGGCACGUAGCUCAGUUGGUUAGAGCACCACCUUGACAUGGUGGGGGACGUUGGUUCGAGUCCAAUCGCGCCUACCA
rnacentral:tRNA from 1 species